GAUGAACGCUGGCGGCGUGCCUAAUACAUGCAAGUCGAGCGAACAGACGAGGAGCUUGCUCCUCUGACGUUAGCGGCGGACGGGUGAGUAACACGUGGAUAACCUACCUAUAAGACUGGGAUAACUUCGGGAAACCGAAGCUAAUACCGGAUAAUAUAUUGAACCGCAUGGUUCAAUAGUGAAAGACGGUUUUGCUGUCACUUAUAGCUGGAUCCGCGCCGCAUUAGCUAGUUGGUAAGGUAACGGCUUACCAAGGCAACGAUGCGUAGCCGACCUGAGAGGGUGAUCGGCCACACUGGAACUGAGACACGGUCCAGACUCCUACGGGAGGCAGCAGUAGGGAAUCUUCCGCAAUGGGCGAAAGCCUGACGGAGCAACGCCGCGUGAGUGAUGAAGGUCUUCGGAUCGUAAAACUCUGUUAUUAGGGAAGAACAAAUGUGUAAGUAACUAUGCACGUCUUGACGGUACCUAAUCAGAAAGCCACGGCUAACUACGUG
rnacentral:rRNA from 1 species